rnacentral:rRNA from 1 species
UACGUAGGGGCCAAGCGUUGUCCGGAUUUAUUGGGCGUAAAGAGCUCGUAGGCGGUUCGGCAAGUCAGCUGUGAAAUCUCCACGCUCAACGUGGAGGGGUCAGCUGAUACUGCUGUGACUCGAGUCCGGUAGGGGAGUGUGGAAUUCCCGGUGUAGCGGUGGAAUGCGUAGAUAUCGGGAGGAACACCAGUGGCGAAGGCGGUUACCUGGAGCUUUGCUGACGCUGAUGCGCGAAAGCGUGGGGAGCGAUCCGG